UACGUAGGGGGCUAGCGUUGUCCGGAUUUAUUGGGCGUAAAGGGCGCGUAGGCGGCCUGAUAAGUAGGGGGUGAAAUCCUGUGGCUCAACUGCAGGGCUGCCUCCUAGACUGUCGGGCUUGAGCACGGUAGAGGCAGAUGGAAUUCCCGGUGUAGCGGUGGAAUGCGUAGAGAUCGGGAAGAACAUCGGUGGCGAAGGCGGUCUGCUGGGCCGUUGCUGACGCUGAGGCGCGACAGCGUGGGGGAGCAAACAGG
rnacentral:rRNA from 1 species